rnacentral:rRNA from 1 species
UAGGGAAUCUUCGGCAAUGGACGAAAGUCUGACCCGAGCAACGCCGCGUGAGUGAAGAAGGUUUUCGGAUCGNAAAACUCUGUUGGUAGAGAAGAACGUUGGUGAGAGUGGAAAAGCUCAUCAAGUGACGGUAACUACCCAGAAAGGGACGGCUAACUACGUGCCAGCAGCCGCGGUAAUACGUAGGUCCCGAGCGUUGUCCGGAUUUAUUGGGCGUAAAGCGAGCGCAGGUG